GCCCUUUCUUGUAGAAGCCGCCUUUCAUUUUCUGUAUCCGUUUGUAGUGAAAUAUGAAUCAAGAAAUCGAGGAGCUGAGAGAUCUUGUUGAACAACUGAGGAUCGAAGUGAAAAUUGAGCCAAUUAUUGUCUCCGAGGCUAUCAAGGAUCUCAUGAACUUUAUUGAAACGAAUAAAGAGAGUGAUAAACUAGUUGUCGGCUUCCCGACUGCAAAAGAUAAUCCACUUAACGAAAAGAGCAUUGGAGGUGGUGGAUGCAUGCUGAUGUAGAGCGAAGAGUAUAUAUGGCCAAGAUGGGACGCGAAACU